UUAAGCGACUAAGCGUACACGGUGGAUGCCCUGGCAGUCAGAGGCGAUGAAGGACGUGCUAAUCUGCGAAAAGCGUCGGUAAGGUGAUAUGAACCGUUAUAACCGGCGAUGUCCGAAUGGGGAAACCCAGUGCAAUUCGUUGCACUAUCGUUAACUGAAUACAUAGGUUAACGAGGCGAACCGGGGGAACUGAAACAUCUAAGUACCCCGAGGAAAAGAAAUCAACCGAGAUUCCCCCAGUAGCGGCGAGCGAACGGGGAGCAGCCCAGAGUCUGAAUCAGCUUGUGUGUUAGUGGAACGGUCUGGAAAGUCCGACGGUACAGGGUGAUAGUCCCGUACACCAAAAUGCACAGGUUGUGAACUCGAAGAGUAGGGCGGGACACGUGGUAUCCUGUCUGAAUAUGGGGGGACCAUCCUCCAAGGCUAAAUACUCCUGACUGACCGAUAGUGAACCAGUACCGUGAGGGAAAGGCGAAAAGAACCCCGGCGAGGGGAGUGAAAAAGAACCUGAAACCGUGUACGUACAAGCAGUGGGAGCACCUUCGGGUGUGACUGCGUACCUUUUGUAUAAUGGGUCAGCGACUUAUAUUCUGUAGCAAGGUUAACCGUAUAGGGGAGCCGCAGGGAAACCGAGUCUUAACUGGGCGUUAAGUUGCAGGGUAUAGACCCGAAACCCGGUGAUCUAGCCAUGGGCAGGUUGAAGGUUGGGUAACACUAACUGGAGGACCGAACCGACUAAUGUUGAAAAAUUAGCGGAUGACUUGUGGCUGGGGGUGAAAGGCCAAUCAAACCGGGAGAUAGCUGGUUCUCCCCGAAAGCUAUUUAGGUAGCGCCUCGUGAAUUCAUCUUCGGGGGUAGAGCACUGUUUCGGCUAGGGGGUCAUCCCGACUUACCAACCCGAUGCAAACUACGAAUACCGAAGAAUGUUAUCACGGGAGACACACGGCGGGUGCUAACGUCCGUCGUGAAGAGGGAAACAACCCAGACCGCCAGCUAAGGUCCCAAAGUCAUGGUUAAGUGGGAAACGAUGUGGGAAGGCACAGACAGCCAGGAUGUUGGCUUAGAAGCAGCCAUCAUUUAAAGAAAGCGUAAUAGCUCACUGGUCGAGUCGGCCUGCGCGGAAGAUGUAACGGGGCUAAACCAUGCACCGAAGCUGCGGCAGCGACACUAUGUGUUGUUGGGUAGGGGAGCGUUCUGUAAGCCUGCGAAGGUGACCUGUGAGGGUUGCUGGAGGUAUCAGAAGUGCGAAUGCUGACAUAAGUAACGAUAAAGCGGGUGAAAAGCCCGCUCGCCGGAAGACCAAGGGUUCCUGUCCAACGUUAAUCGGGGCAGGGUGAGUCGACCCCUAAGGCGAGGCCGAAAGGCGUAGUCGAUGGGAAACAGGUUAAUAUUCCUGUACUUGGUGUUACUGCGAAGGGGGGACGGAGAAGGCUAUGUUAGCCGGGCGACGGUUGUCCCGGUUUAAGCAUGUAGGCUGGUUAUCCAGGCAAAUCCGGAUAAUCAAGGCUGAGGUGUGAUGACGAGGCACUACGGUGCUGAAGUAACAAAUGCCCUGCUUCCAGGAAAAGCCUCUAAGCAUCAGGUAACAUCAAAUCGUACCCCAAACCGACACAGGUGGUCAGGUAGAGAAUACCAAGGCGCUUGAGAGAACUCGGGUGAAGGAACUAGGCAAAAUGGUGCCGUAACUUCGGGAGAAGGCACGCUGGUGUGUAGGUGAAGCCCCUGCGGGUGGAGCUGAGACCAGUCGAAGAUACCAGCUGGCUGCAACUGUUUAUUAAAAACACAGCACUGUGCAAACACGAAAGUGGACGUAUACGGUGUGACGCCUGCCCGGUGCCGGAAGGUUAAUUGAUGGGGUUAUCCGUAAGGAGAAGCUCUUGAUCGAAGCCCCGGUAAACGGCGGCCGUAACUAUAACGGUCCUAAGGUAGCGAAAUUCCUUGUCGGGUAAGUUCCGACCUGCACGAAUGGCGUAAUGAUGGCCAGGCUGUCUCCACCCGAGACUCAGUGAAAUUGAACUCGCUGUGAAGAUGCAGUGUACCCGCGGCAAGACGGAAAGACCCCGUGAACCUUUACUAUAGCUUGACACUGAACAUUGAGCCUUGAUGUGUAGGAUAGGUGGGAGGCUUUGAAGCGUGGACGCCAGUCUGCGUGGAGCCAACCUUGAAAUACCACCCUUUAAUGUUUGAUGUUCUAACGUUGGCCCCUGACCGGGGUUGCGGACAGUGUCUGGUGGGUAGUUUGACUGGGGCGGUCUCCUCCCAAAGCGUAACGGAGGAGCACGAAGGUUAGCUAAUCCUGGUCGGACAUCAGGAGGUUAGUGCAAUGGCAUAAGCUAGCUUGACUGCGAGCGUGACGGCGCGAGCAGGUGCGAAAGCAGGUCAUAGUGAUCCGGUGGUUCUGAAUGGAAGGGCCAUCGCUCAACGGAUAAAAGGUACUCCGGGGAUAACAGGCUGAUACCGCCCAAGAGUUCAUAUCGACGGCGGUGUUUGGCACCUCGAUGUCGGCUCAUCACAUCCUGGGGCUGAAGUAGGUCCCAAGGGUAUGGCUGUUCGCCAUUUAAAGUGGUACGCGAGCUGGGUUUAGAACGUCGUGAGACAGUUCGGUCCCUAUCUGCCGUGGGCGCUGGAGAAUUGAGGGGGGCUGCUCCUAGUACGAGAGGACCGGAGUGGACGCAUCACUGGUGUUCGGGUUGUCAUGCCAAUGGCACUGCCCGGUAGCUAAAUGCGGAAGAGAUAAGUGCUGAAAGCAUCUAAGCACGAAACUUGCCCCGAGAUGAGUUCUCCCUGAGACUUUAAGUCUCCUGAAGGAACGUUAAAGACGAUGACGUUGAUAGGCCGGGUGUGUAAGCGCAGCGAUGCGUUGAGCUAACCGGUACUAAUGAACCGUGAGGCUUAACCU
rnacentral:rRNA from 1 species